GAAAUCACUGCCCUCCACACCUCCACCCUCCCGUGGCGGCGUCGGGAACAAAUUCUCAGACCUAUUACCCUCCACCCGCACCUUGGCCAGAUACUGGGCAUAUUCUGGAGCCUCCAGAGCCCAAGAAAGGCAAGGAGAAAAGAGAAAGAAAAGGAGAGAGGACGAGAGAGGAUAAAGAACGGAAGGGAAAUAAAGCAACCCAGCGGCCGCGCGCUCCUUUUGGCAAAAUUAGCUUCCCCAAGGAUCACUCAAUCUAAUUCAGAUCACAAAAGCCAAUGCUGCAGCCCAAGGGCUGAAGCCGGGGUAACCCAGUCGGGAGUCCCCCAGAGGUACGCCGAUCCGGAGAACUAAGGCACGGAGAGGGAAAAUGGGUGUGUGGGCUGGGCCUGGCUGGCCGGAGGCCGGGCUCCGAACAAAGCCGCCCAGCUCCCCCUACCUGGGGCUUGGGCGGCGCCGCCCCGCAGGGAGCCGCCCCAGCCCCACAGUCACUAGCCCCGGCUGGGGGUCGCAGAGGACGCCCUCCCCGCCAGCGAACUGCGCCCCUUCCGGACAAUGGGCCCCCUCCCCCGCCUCCAGGCGGGCAGAUACAAAGGGAGAGGAGAGCAGCCGGCGCGGAGCCAAGCGUCCGGAAAGUGAAGGCGGGGAAGGGAGAGAGGACGCGAGAAGAACGCGGCGGACGCGGGAGCCCGCGGGCCUCUGCCGGGCCGUCCAGGGCGCUGCCCCUCCGCGGCGGCGGAGGCGGGAGAGUGGUCUGGCCGUCCCUUCGACCGCCCAGCAGAGGAGGGAAGAAAGCGCCACACACAAAGAGGAGCGGGACUCCCACCAUCCGACAGCGCCGAAGCGGGACCGCCUGACGCGCUCUGGCUGCCGACGGUCAGCGGCGCCCGCCAGCCCGCGCCUCCAGGGAGCUGGGGAACCGUGCGGGGCGCCCCUCUUUCGCACUCACCCACAGCUCCGUGCCCCAGCUCAUGGCGGAACUUGAGGCGACUCGGAUCGUCUGGCAGAUCCGCUGUCGGUACGUCCGUCGGCUUCGCAGUCAAUGUGUCCGACUUCUUCUUCUGGCUAGCCGGCAGGCUCGCGUCUGAACGCCUUUGCCUCGAAAGGUGCCGCCACCGCCGGGUUCCCCAGCGGACCGUCCGCCCCACUCCUGUCGCCACUCGGAUUCCUGCCUCCAAGAUGGAAAGGGAGAGGAGGAAAAGACGCCCACUGCCCCUUCUCUGCCCGGAGCUCCCUUAACUGAGGCAACUGCAGACACCCGCAUUUCCCGCCGGUGGUUUCCUCGUCUUCGGAGCACCCUGACAAAGAAACCUCAUCCACAUCCUCGGGUUUAGAUUGAGGAGGGGUGGGUGUGUGGGUGUGUGGGGCGCGGUGUUAAUUAAAAAUCUUGUUGGUUUAGGAGAUCUCUCUUUUCAGGCCUGAUGCUUCGAUCUUAACGUUUUUGGGAAUCAUUGAAACGUGGAAGGUUGAACGUCAAAUGCGAAUACAGCAUGCCUCCGAUUCUCUUUUUAAUAAAGUAUUAUAAUUUUACUAUAA